GACAGAGGGUGCAAACGUUGUUCGGAUUUACUGGGCGUAAAGCGUGUGUAGGCGGCUUUGCAAGUCGGAUGUGAAAUCCCACGGCUCAACCGUGGAAGUGCAUCCGAAACGGCAUCGCUUGAGUCUCGGAGAGGAAGGUGGAAUGCUUGGUGUAGAGGUGAAAUUCGUAGAUAUCAAGCAGAACACCUGCGGCGAAGGCGGCCUUCUGGACGAUGACUGACGCUGAGACGCGAAAGCGUGGGGAGCAAACAGG
rnacentral:rRNA from 1 species